rnacentral:misc_RNA from 1 species
AAAACUCUGUCUCAAAUGUGUGAUUAAUGGCAAUAGCAACUUAAAUUAAUCUCUAGGGUUGAUUUGACAUGUUUGGAUCAUAAAAUCUCCAAAUCAACUAAGAGAAAGAUCCAGACUACUUUUUGCAAUAUCAUCUGAAGAGGUUCAUUUAUGAAAAAGUAAUUUCAAUCUCAAUUCCAAAAUCACAUUCAUUUUACAUAGCAUAAUCUGGUUGAUUUGCAAUAUUAUGUGAGUUCAGUCUGGGUGGUGUUUAAUAUUGACUAAGCAUUAUUUCUUGUUAUUAUUUUUAUCCUUAAGUUGUUACCUGGCCCUGGG